GAUGAACGCUGACAGAAUGCUUAACACAUGCAAGUCUUUGGCGAAGCUGUGCUUGCACCGCCUAGCCAAGGCGGACGGGUGAGUAACGCGUCAGGAACUUGCCCUGCAGUCAGGGAUAACAGACGGAAACGACUGAUAAGACCUGGUAAAGUCAGGCGGACUCAUGUCCAGCCUGAUGAAAAGAGAUGCUGCAGGAGAGCCUUGCGUCCUAUUAGCUUGUUGGUGGGGUAACGGCCCACCAAGGCGAUGAUAGGUAGCCGGCCUGAGAGGGUGGACGGCCACAAGGGGACUGAGAUACGGCCCUUACUCCUACGGGAGGCAGCAGUGGGGAAUAUUGGACAAUGGGGGCAACCCUGAUCCAGCAAUUCUGUGUGCACGAUGAAGGUUUUCGGAUUGUAAAGUGCUUUCAGCAGGGAAGAAAAAAAUGACGGUACCUGCAGAAGAAGCGACGGCUAAAUACGUG
rnacentral:rRNA from 1 species